GGAUGUCAGUGGAUUAUCCCUAAAUUAGUAGAUUUAGGGAACGUUUACAGAUAACAGAUUAAGCUACCGGAUCAAGUUAGCAACACAAGUUGAACAGCCUUUUAAUUCUCAGCUGAUUUUGGAUUGAUGGCAAAGGGAGAGGGACUUAAGUGAGAAUGAAAACACAAGUAACCUACUGUAUGGCAGGUGGAGGGGCAGUGAUGUUACAGGUGGAGGAGCAAAACUGCAAGACUGCAAACUCACAAGACAGAGAAAUCAAAGUUUGUUCUCCAGAGAAGAGGUUGAUUUCACUUCAAUUUUUUAUUUCAUAUUUUCUAAAGAUGUGGAAAUGGCAAAAAAACAACAACUUGAAAUCUGUAACCAAGACAACUGUAACAACAUGAGUAGAGAGCCACCAAGGUUUUUGAAGUCCCUCUCUUACUCCAUUUUGCCAACCCAAACUUCCAGGUACAU